CAUCCUGAACAUGUCCAUCGACAACUCACUAAACUUCACCUGGUCGGCGCAAUUGCCAACGAUCAGGAUCUCCUGCAGGGAUAGGCACAUGGGUGGCGUACGUUCGAUCGGGGGCGAGGUCUGUGGACCCAGCCUGUGGGUGCUGGUGUAAUCGGCGAUCUGGGCGUCGAGCUCUUGGACCAGUUCGCGGACGAGCUUCAUCCGGUUCAACAGCAGGCAGACGACGAUGAAACGGGCGUAGUACCUCAGCUUCUUCACCAUCAGGUCGCUUCUGUCCUCCUUGGCGGCGCGGCUGUAGUACGCGCGGCCGCGGAUCGCCGCGUAGAAUGAGUAGGCCUCGUGAAGGUAGCUGGUCUCGCUGGUGCGAAGGUAAUAGUGGUAGUAGAGUUGACCGAUCUUGCUCGCGAUCUCGCCGAUCUGCCACCUCUUCAGGCCGUACUUCGUGUCGAGUAUCGUCCUGGAACAACAAUAUGUGCAAGCGCGCGUGUGGUGUCACGCGCGCCUUUUAUGGUUAUUGCUCUGCUGGGCGAACGCUCACAACAAAGUCGUAUUAAUCACGCUAUUACGUUUUACAGCGUUUUCGUCCUGCGAUAACUAUAUAUAUAUAUAUAUACUUUCUUUCGACGCAAACUCGAACGAAUACGUCGAUGGAAACGAAAGGAACAAAAGGGAAAAUGAAAAGAAGUGGAAAAAAAAAAAAGAAAGAAAGAGGAAAACAGAAACGGAACACAGAUCAGCGAUACUUUUGAAACUGGCUGCCGCACGUUUCGAGAAACUUUCCCCUAUUGUUUUGUCGAGUAUCCUGAAAGAGCGUCCCCGAUAUUUAUUAACAUUUGACGCGGCACGAUCGCGUGUCUACCUUAUGUAUACACUAUGCAUCCACGUGUUACAUCGUAUUGCACGUACUAGACACCGUACGUGUAUAUAUAUAAUAUAUAUAUAUAUGCGCGAGGCGUUGUGAAUAGCCGGAUAGACAAUUGACUCUUUGUCGAGUCGCACCAUCAGUCCGGCCGGCCCAACUUGAUGACACUUUACGAUCAAAAGGGAAAGGGACAAAGGGCCGAAGAUUACCGGGCAUCCGGUGCAACAGAAUCGAAAGAGUAAAUAAAGACGUGCGAGCAAAGUGUGUGUGUGUGUAUGGAAGAAGAUUCGAGUGGGCCGACGAAGCAAAUUUUGCCAGAAUUUGGGACUGAUGAUUUUUCAUUGAAGAAUAAAUCAAGUGAAAGGUCAAAAGAUGCCAUCAAGAUGAUAAAAUUUUAAUAGAGAUUAUUGAAUAUAAUCCACGACAAACGAUAAAGGAGACCGUGUUUCAAAGGAGUCUAAGGUAUUCUAUAAUUGUUCACUAGUCACUUGACAUAAAUAGAAAGAGCAAAGAAAGUGAAGAAAUGGAUAUUGCGCGAGUUUAAACGUGUACAGAAAUCAAAUUGAAUGAAGACAGUUAUUUUAAAAUAGAUUAAAAAAAAAAUAAA